rnacentral:misc_RNA from 1 species
GAUGAAGAACGUAGCGAAAUGCGAUAAGUAAUGUGAAUUGCAGAAUUCAGUGAAUCAUCGAAUCUUUGAACGCACAUUGCGCCCGCCAGUAUUCUGGCGGGCAUGCCUGUUCGAGCGUCAUUUCAACCAUCAAGCCCCCGGCUUGUGUUGGGGACCUGCGGCUGCCGCAGGCCCUGAAAACCAGUGGCGGGCUCGCUAGUCACUCCGAGCGUAGUAAUACAUCUCGCUCAGGGCGUGCUGCGAGUUCCGGCCGUUAAAAAGCCUUAUUUACCCAAGGUUGACCUCGGAUCAGGUAGGAAGACCCGCUGAACUUAAGCAUAUCAAUAAGCGGAGGA